CCUACGGGAGGCAGCAGUGGGGAAUAUUGCACAAUGGGGGAAACCCUGAUGCAGCGACGCCGCGUGCGUGAUGAAGUAUUUCGGUACGUAAAGCUCUAUCAGCAGGGAGGAAACUGACGGUACCUGACUAGGUAUCCCCGGCUAACUACGUUCCAGCAGCCGCGGUAAUACGUCGGGGGCAGGCGUUAUCCGGAUUUACUGGGGGUAAAGGGAGCGUAGACGGCAGCGCAGGUCUGGAGUGAAAUUCCAUGGGUUAACCAUGGAACUGCUUUGGAAACUGUGCAGCUGGAGUGCAGGAGAGGCAAGCGGAAUUCCUAGUGUAGCGGUGAAAUGCGUAGAUAUUAGGAGGAACACCAGUGGCGAAGGCGGCUUACUGGACUGUAACUGACGUUGAGGCUCGAAAGCGUGGGGAGCAAACAGGAUUAGAUACCCGAGUAGUC
rnacentral:rRNA from 1 species